GACGAACGCUGGCGGCGUGCCUAAUACAUGCAAGUCGAACGCAGUGGGGACGGGUGAGUAACACGUGGGUAACCUCCCAUCAGAGGGGAUAACACUUGGAAACAGGUGCUAAACCGAUACUGAUGGAUGGACCCGAGGUGCAUUAGCUAGGUGGUGAGGUACCGGCUCACCAAGGCCACGAUGCAUAGCCGACCCAGGAGGGUGACAGGCACACCGGGGACUGAGAACGGGCCCAGACCCCUACGGGGGGAAGAAGGAGGGAAUCUGCGGCAAUGGACGAAAGUCUGAGCGAGCAACGCCGCGUGAGUGAAGAAGCUUUACGGAUGGUAAAUCUUUUUUGUUAGAGAAGCGGUAUCUAACCAGAAAGCCACGGCUAACUACGUGCCAGCAGCCGCGGUAUUC
rnacentral:rRNA from 1 species